CAGCAGCCGCGGUAAUACCGGCGGCCCGAGUGGCGGUCACUAUUAUUGGGCUUAAAGCGUCCGUAGCCGGGUUGGGAAGUCCUCCGGGAAAUCUGGCCGCUUAACGGUCAGAAUGCCGGAGGAUACUCCCAGCCUAGGGAGCGGGAGAGGCCGAGGGGAUUCCCGGAGUAGGGGGGAAAUCCUAUAAUCCCGGGAGGACCACCUGUGGCGAAGGCGCUCGGCUGGAACGCGUCCGACGGUGAGGGACGAAGGCCAGGGGAGCAAACCGGAUUAGAUACCCGGGUAGUCCUGGCUGUAAACGAUGCGGACUUUGUGUCGGACAAGCUAUGAGCUUGUCCGGUGCCGGAGGGAAGCCGUUAAGCCCGCCGCCUGGGGAGUACGGCCGCAAGGUUGAAACUUAAAGGAAUUGGCGGG
rnacentral:rRNA from 1 species